AGCGAACGCUGGCGGCAGGCCUAAUACAUGCAAGUCGAGCGCACCUUCGGGUGAGCGGCGGACGGGUGAGUAACGCGUGGGAACGUGCCCUUUGGUACGGAACAACUGAGGGAAACUUCAGCUAAUACCGUAUGUGCCCUUCGGGGAAAGGAUUAUCGCCAUUGGAGCGGCCCGCGUUGGAUUAGGUAGUCGGUGAGGUAAAGGACUCACCAAGCCUACGAUCCAUAGC
rnacentral:rRNA from 1 species